UGGGGAAUUGUUCGCAAUGGGCGCAAGCCUGACGACGCAACGCCGCGUGGAGGAUGAAGAUCUUCGGGUCGUAAACUCCUUUCGAUCGAGACGAACGGCUUCCGUGCUAAUCAACGGAAGAGUGACGGUACCGAGAGAAGAAGCCCCGGCUAACUCCGUGCCAGCAGCCGCGGUAAUACGGGGGGGGCAAGCGUUGUUCGGAAUUACUGGGCGUAAAGGGCUCGUAGGCGGCCAACGAAGUCAGACGUGAAAUCCCUCGGCUUAACCGGGGAACUGCGUCUGAUACUGGAUGGCUUGAGGUUGGGAGAGGGAUGCGGAAUUCCAGGUGUAGCGGUGAAAUGCGUAGAUAUCUGGAGGAACACCGGUGGCGAAGGCGGCAUCCUGGACCAAUUCUGACGCUGAGGAGCGAAAGCCAGGGGAGCAAAC
rnacentral:rRNA from 1 species